rnacentral:lncRNA from 1 species
UGAUUGGCUGUAGUUUACAUUCCUACUUAUAGACAACAAUAAUAUACCCAAUGUAUUCCCACCUAGGGGGUUCUGGGGAGGGUAGAGUGUACGCGGUCCAUAACAUUACCUUAGGUGAAGUAGAGAGGUUAUUUUGGAUAGACCCCAGAUUAGAACCAAUGACAAUAUAACAAACACAAAACAUAAACGUAUAUAAACUAACAACGCUAACCAAGAUAAUACUAGAGCCACAGGAUAAUACUAAAACUAUAAAUCCGAAACCAUAGACAAUACUCAACACCACGAAAAAGAAACUACAGACACAAAUAAAGAACACUCCCCUACUGCUACCAAUGCACUCCCACCCCUA